ACAGUGUUCUGCAAUAGUUGGAGCAGAUAACUUUCAGUGUAGCCACAGCCAUGGACUCCAGAUUUCCAGAUUUUCAAGACCUGGACCUGGAACCCGAAAGAGCUUGUCACGAUGCGGCAGGAACACUGGAGUCCUGUGCCUCCUGAUUGCUGAGUGUUCACCUGGACCUUCUGACUACCUUCCCUGUGCUAUUCCAUCAGCCUACAGACCUGGUACCUGGAUUUUUGCCCGAGAUGAUUCCUACCACCUUACUACUGACGAAGACACCCAUUCCAGUGGACCACUGUGACCCAGGAGGCAUUCAGCCAUCAUGAUGUGGCCUUUACCUCCACUCCUGUCUUGUUCUACCCAGAUUCAGCACAGCCCUUUAUAGUGAAGUCAGAGUC
rnacentral:lncRNA from 1 species